AAUCUGAAUGUGUGACGAUGGUUGAUGUAAACCUCCUUUAUUGGUCAGAAUAUCUUGGAACAGAAAAAAUAAAAAUGGAUUAGUGAAUGGAUUAGUGAACGGAUUUACAUGAGAUAAAGUGAAUUAAAUUCUUGAGAAGAAUUGAAGAAGUUUGAGAAUGAAGAGUUUAAACAUAGUUUUCUUUAUCUUGACACACAAGGUUAACCAAGGAUUAGGAGAGCAGGAUGAAGAGACUUCUUGUGAUCUGGAGCUGGGUUGCACCGAAACCUUUACAAUAGAUCCAGGGUUAAAAGAGCCAAAAUCCAAAACUCUCCAAGAUAUAGAGACAAAUUUAUUUAGAACAAACGGAGAUGUUUUGAAUCAAAUACUUGACUUUCAAAAUAAGGUAUUUUCUAGAUUGAUUGAUGGACUAUAUGGAUCACAGCUGUACACGACUAUACGACAACAUUAAUACAGACUUUAAUAUAAACAGGACUAUAGACCAAAUGAACAAAAGGACUACAGACCAAAUGAACAACAGGAGUACAGAACUACAGAACAAGAAAUAUGACUACACUGAUAUAGAACUACAGAACUUCAUAGCUAUAGGACUACAAGACAACAGGACUGAAUAUCAAUGUUUAGAAAAAUUUAAAAUUUAAAAAAAAUUAGAAAAAUACAGAAAUAUAGGGCUAAAUAACUAUUAGAAAACAGAACUACAGGACAACAGAACUACUGGACUACAGAACUACAGGAAUAUAUAACUACAUGACUACAGAACUACUGGACUAGAGAACUACAGGACUACAGAACUACUGGACUACAGAACUACUGCACUACAGAACUAAUGGCCUACAGAACUACAGGACAACAGAUCGAAAGGACAACAGAACGAAAGGACUACAGAACUACAGGACUACAGAACUACAGGACAACAGAGCUACAGAACCAUAGAACUACAUGACAACAGAACUACAGAACCACAGAACUACUGGACUACAGAACUACAGGACAACAGAACUUUAGGACAACAAAACUACAAGAGUACAGAACUACAUGACAACAGUACUAUAGUACCACAGAACUUCAGGACUACAGAGCUACAUGAAUACAGGAAUACAGGAAACCAGAACUAUAGGACAGCAGAACUAUAGGACAGCAGAACUAUAGGACAACAGAACUACAGGAAAACUGAACUACGGAACCACAGAACUAUAGAACCACAGAACUGCAGGACUACAGAACAACAGGACAACAGAACUACAGGACAACAUAACCACAUGAGAACAUAACCACAAGACUACAGAACUACAGGUCAACAGAACUUCAAAACCUUUAGAACUGCAGGACUACAGAACUAAAGGACUACAGAACUACAGGACUACAGAACUACAGGAUUAAAGGACUACAGAACUACAGGAAUACAGGAAUACAGGAAAAUAGAACUGCAGGAAAACAGAACUACAGGAAAACAGAACUACAGGAAAACAGAAC